UUCCGGUUGAUCCUGCCGGACCUGACUGCUAUCGGAUUGAUACUAAGCCAUGCUAGUCUUUGUAGUAAUACAAGGCAUACGGCUCAGUAACGCGUAGUCAACCUACCCUAUGGACGGGGAUAAUCUCGGGAAACUGAGCAUAAUACCCGGUAGACCACUUCUCCUGGAAUGGUUAGUGGUUAAAAUGAUUCGUCGCCAUAGGAUGGGACUGCGGCCUAUCAGCUUGUUGGUGAGGUAAUGGCCCACCAAGGCGAUUACAGGUACGGGCUCUGAGAGGAGAAGCCCGGAGAUGGGUACUGAGACAAGGACCCAGGCCCUAUGGGGCGCAGCAGGCGAGAAAACUUUGCAAUGUGCGAAAGCACGACAAGGUUAAUCCGAGUGAUUUCUGCUAAAGGAAUCUUUUGUUAGUUCUAAAAAUACUAGUGAAUAAGGGGUGGGCAAGUUCUGGUGUCAGCCGCCGCGGUAAAACCAGCACCUCAAGUGGUCAGGAGGAUUAUUGGGCCUAAAGCAUCCGUAGCCGGCUCUGUAAGUUUUCGGUUAAAUCCAUGUGCUCAACGCAUGGGCUGCCGAAAAUACUGCAUAGCUAGGGAGUGGGAGAGGUAGACGGUACUCGGUAGGAAGGGGUAAAAUCCUUUGAUCUAUCGAUGACCACCUGUGGCGAAGGCGGUCUACCAGAACACGUUCGACGGUGAGGGAUGAAAGCUGGGGGAGCAAACCGGAUUAGAUACCCGGGUAGUCCCAGCUGUAAACGAUGCAGACUCGAUGAUGCAUUGGCAUAUAGCCAGUGCAGUGUCGCAGGGAAGCCGUUAAGUCUGCCGCCUGGGAAGUACGUACGCAAGUAUGAAACUUAAAGGAAUUGGCGGGGGAGCACCACAAGGGGUGAAGCCUGCGGUUCAAUUGGAUUCAACGCCGG
rnacentral:rRNA from 1 species